AUCAAAGUUGAAAACGCUUAGGCAAGUCCACAGUGCAGCAACGCCGUUAACAGACAAGUCAUUACCGUUACAAUUAGGUAAAUAUGACGAACCGAUACACAGAAGGUGAGCAAAGUUUGAUUUUGAAGUUGAUUCAGUACUUCCAAGGGGAAAAAGAAGCAGGCAAAACUUUAACACCCGUAAGCGCAGUAUAUGAUAGGGUUUGUGCUGCCCUGGGUGUAUCGUUGUGGACUGUAAAAAGAAUUAGUACAAGAGGUGUUAAAAAAGAUGACGAUUAGGUACAAAUCGCAAAAAAGUGUGGCUAUUAGUUUAUCUCACGGACCUCCGCUGCAUGAAAUACAUGAACAUGUAAUAAGGACACGGAUUUAUGCAAUGUAUGCGACAGGUAAAUAACAUUCUUUUUGUUCUAAGGGAAGA